rnacentral:snRNA from 1 species
GAAUCUAUCAGCAGCACAUAUACUAAAAUUGCAAUGAUACAGAGAAGAUUAGCAUGACCCCUGAACA